rnacentral:rRNA from 1 species
CCUACGGGAGGCAGCAGUGGGGAAUUUUCCGCAAUGGGCGAAAGCCUGACGGAGCAACGCCGCGUGAGGGAUGAAGGCCUCUGGGCUGUAAACCUCUUUUAUCAAGGAAGAAGAUCUGACGGUACUUGAUGAAUAAGCCACGGCUAAUUCCGUGCCAGCAGCCGCGGUAAUACGGGAGUGGCAAGCGUUAUCCGGAAUUAUUGGGCGUAAAGCGUCCGCAGGCGGUCUUGUAAGUCUGUCGUUAAAGCGUGGAGCUCAACUCCAUUUCGGCGGUGGAAACUACAAGACUAGAGUGUGGUAGGGGCAGAGGGAAUUCCCGGUGUAGCGGUGAAAUGCGUAGAUAUCGGGAAGAACACCAGUGGCGAAGGCGCUCUGCUGGGCCAUAACUGACGCUCAUGGACGAAAGCUAGGGGAGCGAAAGGGAUUAGAUACCCCUGUAGUCCUAGCCGUAAACGAUGAACACUAGGUGUCGGGGGAAUCGACCCCCUCGGUGUCGUAGCUAACGCGUUAAGUGUUCCGCCUGGGGAGUACGCACGCAAGUGUGAACGUCAAAGGAAUUGACGG